rnacentral:rRNA from 1 species
CCUACGGGAGGCAGCAGUGGGGAAUAUUGGACAAUGGGCGAAAGCCUGAUCCAGCAAUGCCGCGUGAGUGAUGAAGGCCUUCGGGUCGUAAAGCUCUUUUACCAGGGAUGAUAAUGACAGUACCUGGAGAAUAAGCUCCGGCUAACUCCGUGCCAGCAGCCGCGGUAAUACGGAGGGAGCUAGCGUUGUUCGGAAUUACUGGGCGUGAAGAGUACGUAGGCGGUUAUUCAAGUCAGAGGUGAAAGCCCGGGGCUCAACCCCGGAACUGCCUUUGAAACUAGAUAACUAGAGUCUUGGAGAGGUUAGUGGAAUUCCGAGUGUAGAGGUGAAAUUCGUAGAUAUUCGGAAGAACACCAGUGGCGAAGGCGACUAACUGGACAAGUACUGACGCUGAGGUACGAAAGCGUGGGGAGCAAACAGGAUUAGAUACCCUGGUAGUCCACGCCGUAAACGAUGAUAACUAGUUGUUCGGUCACUUGGUGACUGAGUGACGCANCACGCAUAAUUAUCGUCCUGGUAGGUACGGUCGCGAGAUAAACUACAAUANAUAGAGNGNGAGAGNGCGAGACGACGACGAGGAGAG